rnacentral:rRNA from 1 species
AUCUAAGUACCCCGAGGAAAAGAAAUCAACCGAGAUUCCCCCAGUAGCGGCGAGCGAACGGGGAGGAGCCCAGAGCCUGAAUCAGCAUGUGUGUUAGUGGAAGCGUCUGGAAAGGCGCGCGAUACAGGGUGACAGCCCCGUACACAAAAGCGCAUGUGCUGUGAGCUCGAUGAGUAGGGCGGGACACGUGGUAUCCUGUCUGAAUAUGGGGGGACCAUCCUCCAAGGCUAAAUACUCCUGACUGACCGAUAGUGAACCAGUACCGUGAGGGAAAGGCGAAAAGAACCCCGGCGAGGGGAGUGAAAAAGAACCUGAAACCGUGUACGUACAAGCAGUGGGAGCCCCACCACCAAAGCAUUCUCUGGUGUUGAAGGCCCUGCAAAGCAGCAUCGCGGUGGCGGAGCGUCGUUUGCGACGCCCAACACACAAAACAAGCGGUGAGUGCUUUGGGGUGGGGUGACUGCGUACCUUUUGUAUAAUGGGUCAGCGACUUAUAUUCUGUAGCAAGGUUAACCGAAUAGGGGAGCCGGAGGGAAACCGAGUCUUAAUUGGGCGUUAAGUUGCAGGGUAUAGACCCGAAACCCGGUGAUCUAGCCAUGGGCAGGUUGAAGGUUGGGUAACACUAACUGGAGGACCGAACCGACUAAUGUUGAAAAAUUAGCGGAUGACCUGUGGCUGGGGGUGAAAGGCCAAUCAAACCGGGAGAUAGCUGGUUCUCCCCGAAAGCUAUUUAGGUAGCGCCUCGUGAAUUCAUCUCCGGGGGUAGAGCACUGUUUCGGCUAGGGGGCCAUCCCGGCUUACCAACCCGAUGCAAACUGCGAAUACCGGAGAAUGUUAUCACGGGAGACACACGGCGGGUGCUAACGUCCGUCGUGAAGAGGGAAACAACCCAGACCGCCAGCUAAGGUCCCAAAGUCAUGGUUAAGUGGGAAACGAUGUGGGAAGGCCCAGACAGCCAGGAUGUUGGCUUAGAAGCAGCCAUCAUUUAAAGAAAGCGUAAUAGCUCACUGGUCGAGUCGGCCUGCGCGGAAGAUGUAACGGGGCUAAACCAUGCACCGAAGCUGCGGCAGCGAACGUAUCACUUAAAGCGAUUCAGAAGCUUACGAUUGACGGAGCGAAGCGACGUCAAAGCGUAUACAA